rnacentral:rRNA from 1 species
AACGAACGCUGGCGGCAGGCCUAACACAUGCAAGUCGAACGCCCGUAGCAAUACGGGAGUGGCAGACGGGUGAGUAACGCGUGGGAACGUGCCCUUCGGUUCGGAAUAACUCAGGGAAACUUGAGCUAAUACCGGAUACGUCCGUAAGGAGAAAGAUUUAUCGCCGAAGGAUCGGCCCGCGUCGGAUUAGCUAGUUGGUGAGGUAACGGCCCACCAAGGCGACGAUCCGUAGCUGGUCUGAGAGGAUGAUCAGCCACACUGGGACUGAGACACGGCCCAGACUCCUACGGGAGGCAGCAGUGGGGAAUAUUGGACAAUGGGCGAAAGCCUGAUCCAGCCAUGCCGCGUGAGUGAAGAAGGCCUUAGGGUUGUAAAGCUCUUUCAGCGGGGAAGAUAAUGACGGUACCCGCAGAAGAAGCCCCGGCUAACUUCGUGCCAGCAGCCGCAGUAAU